AUGGGUGUGGGACUGAGGACUCAGGCAAAGGGGAGGUACUCCUUCCCGCUCCCUCCUUCCCUUUUCCCCCUACCCCCAUCCAAGGAUCAGAUGGCAGGGAGAGUGUGUGCAAAGCCAGCUGGCUUCCAAGGCCCUGGGUGUGGGACUGGGCACCCCCAGCCCGGGGAGGUCAUCCUCCCUUGGACCUCUCUCGGGCAUCUCCCAGGGAGGGAGGGGCGAGCAGCCAGGCGAGCACCCAUGCAACCGGGGGACUCGCGCUCCCUUCCAGGCUCUCCCGAGACAGCGGCGGCCGGGGAGGGGGUGUGGUGUGAAGGGAGCUCCUGGCGGAGGGAAGGUCAUCCUCCUCCUCCGCCGGGUAGCUGCCAGGGCAGGGGGCAAGGGAGCACCUCCCCCGGCUCUGGCCCGCUGCCCGCUUCGCCCCUGCAGCCCUGCCCGGGGGAGGAAGCCGAGCCCGCCGGGGGCCACCUGCAGGGGAGCGCUGGCCGCUCGUGCCCGGCCGGCGCUGCAGGCGGGGAUGCGGGGCCGCAGGGGAGGGACCCGCCCGCCCGCUCGCUCGCCCUCCCGCCAGCCGCCCACGGCGGCCGCUCCAGAGCGUACCUCAGGGGCCGGGCCCUGCUCCUCCUGCUCCUCCGGCUGCUCGGGCUCCUGCUCCGGCUCCGGCUCCGGCUCCUGCCCCGGCUCGGGCCUGGGACGCACGGGCUCCUCGCAGCCGCCCAGCCCCGCUGCCGCCGCCUCGUCCAAGAGCCCCGCAUCCGCGGCGGGGCAGGGCGGCUCGGGCUGCGGCGGGGGCGGAGGCGGCCCCACGGCCCGCUCCUUGCGGGCCCCGCCGCUACCGCCGCCGCCGCCGGGCUUGUUCCGCCGCCGCGUCAUGCUGCCUGCCCCUGGGCCGCCGCUCCCGCCGCUGCCGCCGCCGCCGCCGCUCCCGCCGCCGCCGCAACCGCUCCCGGAGACAGGACAACAGCCAAUAUGGCGGCACCCGCGGCUCCCCCCUCUCCGCCCGCUGCCAGCAGGUUAAAGGUCACGGAGGCCCAACGCCGCCGCCAGCCCUGA
rnacentral:lncRNA from 1 species